GACGAACGCUGGCGGCGUGCUUAACACAUGCGAGUCGAACGGAAAGGCCCUGCUUGCAGGGUGCUCGAGUGGCGAACGGGUGAGUAACACGUGGGUGAUCUGCCCCUUACUUUGGGAUAAGCCUGGGAAACUGGGUCUAAUACUGGAUAGGACCAUGCUGUAGGUGGUGUGGUGGAAAGAUUAGUUUCGGUAAGGGAUGAGCUCGCGGCCUAUCAGCUUGUUGGUGGGGUAAUGGCCUACCAAGGCGUCGACGGGUAGCCGGCCUGAGAGGGUGGACGGCCACAUUGGGACUGAGAGACGGCCCAGACUCCUACGGGAGGCAGCAGUGGGGAAUAUUGCACAAUGGGCGCAAGCCUGAUGCAGCGACGCCGCGUGGGGGAUGACGGCCUUCGGGUUGUAAACUCCUUUCAGCCAUGACGAAGCCCUUGUGGUGACGGUAGUGGUAGAAGAAGCACCGGCUAACUACGUG
rnacentral:rRNA from 1 species